rnacentral:lncRNA from 1 species
AUGGUACGAGAAGCCAAGCAGAAGGUUGCUGUAUUAGGAUGCGUAGAGUGGAGAGGAAAACCAGAAUCCUUUCUCAGGUCGUGUGAGCAAACAGCGAGAGUGCCCGGCGCCUGCUUGGGUGCUUUGUCACUGCCUCAGGAGCUGAUGUUCAGUCAGACAUCUUCUGAUGCUCUCCUGUCCAACUGGCUUCCAUGUCAGCAGAAAACAGAUCAACAUCGUGUUGAAGGUUCAAGCACGAGCUAACCCACCAGACAAACUGGGAUUUAGGAUUUCAUGGAAAUCCACGCUGGGAUUAUGGGAGGAGUGUUGUUUUACAGGGUUGGGAUGGCAAGCUAAGAAAAUUCUGUUUCAGCUCAGUUUUGGAAGUUUUGGGGUUGGUCCAGGUGUGACUCAGUAAAAUUUGGGUGUGUGGCACACAGACAGCAAAGAAAUUCUCCAUUUUGAGAAUUCUCACCCCUCGAACUGGCAGGCUAAGUGGUAUUUUCCCAUGAGAGGCACAUCCUUCUUGUACCUAACCCAGGAAUUUAACGCAGCACUUCAAUAACUAAGCUUAGACUCUCAAGUUCUGUCUCCUCAGCUUUAUGUAACGUAACUUUAACUUCAUUUAGCUCAUUUCUACAAAAUGUCUUCCACUCGUUCACACUGGUGAGCACAGAAAAAUGACUUUUUUCCUCCUUUUUAGUAGAACGGGAUUUCACUGGCAAGAAGAACCUGGUUGUCCGUGAACAUAAGGGAAUAUUUUAGCUUCCUCUCAUGUGCUUAGAUGUAAAAGAGAUGGAAGCAUUUGCAUCACACUCCUGUUGAGAGGAAGAGACAGGUUUCAGUCCUCCUUUUCAUUCCCACUCCAUUGGAAUUGGCAUGAAUACAGAUGACGGGCAGUGACCCAUUCUAUUAAGAUUUAAAUUUAGCAAGGAACUGGAAAAUCUCUGGGAGCCUUACCUCUAACCUCUGCUUCAUAAAAAAAUAUGCAUAAUUCUUGUCUUAUUGCUAAAUUUGAGUUAAUUGUCAAAAGCCAGGCCAAUAAAAGAACUGUCCAACGCAAACCUUAUCUGCCCUAGAUGCAUGUAUCUGCUUACAGUAUCCUUUGUUAGUUAAACAAAACAG